rnacentral:snRNA from 1 species
AUACUUACCUGGCAGGGGAGAUACCAUGAUCACGAAGGUGGUUUUCCCAGGGCGAGGCUUAUCCAUUGCACCCCGGAUGUGCUGACCCCUGCGAUUUCCCCAAAUGUGGGAAACUCGACUGCAUAAUUUGUGGUAGUGGGGGACUGCGUUCGCGCUCUCCCCUG